UUGGCCUGGUUCACUCAGAUC
rnacentral:siRNA from 1 species